GACGAACGCUGGCGGCGUGCUUAACACAUGCAAGUCGUACGGUAAGGCCCUUUCGGGGGUACACGAGUGGCGAACGGGUGAGUAACACGUGAGUAACCUGCCCACAACUUUGGGAUAACGCUAGGAAACUGGUGCUAAUACUGGAUAUGUGCUCCUGCUGCAUGGUGGGGGUUGGAAAGCUCCGGCGGUUGUGGAUGGACUCGCGGCCUAUCAGCUUGUUGGUGGGGUAGUGGCCUACCAAGGCGGCGACGGGUAGCCGGCCUGAGAGGGUGACCGGCCACAUUGGGACUGUGAUACGGCCCACACCCCUACGGGAGCCACGGGUGGGGAAUAUUGCCCAAUGGGGCCACGCCGCGCGCGGCAAGCCCGCGUGCGGGGUGAAGGCCUUUGGUUUGUAAGCCGUUUUCAGCGGGGAGGAACCUUUUUUGACGGGUCCCUGCGAAAGAGGCCCCGGCUACCUCCGG
rnacentral:rRNA from 1 species